UACGUAGGGUGCGAGCGUUGUCCGGAAUUAUUGGGCGUAAAGAGCUUGUAGGCGGUUUGUCGCGUCUGCUGUGAAAUCCGGGGCUCAACCCCGGACUUGCAGUGGGUACGGGCAGACUAGAGUGCGGUAGGGGAGAUUGGAACUCCUGGUGUAGCGGUGGAAUGCGCAGAUAUCAGGAAGAACACCGAUGGCGAAGGCAGAUCUCUGGGCCGUAACUGACGCUGAGGAGCGAAAGCAUGGGGAGCGAACAGG
rnacentral:rRNA from 1 species